rnacentral:rRNA from 1 species
CCUACGGGUGGCUGCAGUGGGGGAUAUUGCACAAUGGGGGGAACCCUGAUGCAGCGACGCCGCGUGGGUGAAGGAGUGCUUCGGCAUGUAAAGCCCUAUCGGCAGGGAAGAAGCAAGACGGUACCUGACUAAGAAGCCCCGGCUAACUACGUGCCAGCAGCCGCGGUAAUACGUAGGAUGCGAGCGUUAUCCGGAUUUAUUGGGUUUAAAGGGUGCGCAGGCGGCGAGUUAAGUCAGCGGUAAAAUUUCGGGGCUCAACCCCGACGAGCCGUUGAAACUGGCUUGCUAGAGUGGGCGAGAAGUAUGCGGAAUGCGUUGUGUAGCGGUGAAAUGCAUAGAUAUCACGCAGAACUCCGAUUGCGAAGGCAGCAUACCGGCGCCCAACUGACGCUCAGGCACGAAAGCGUGGGUAUCGAACAGGAUUAGAUACCCUGGUAGUC